UGAAUAUGGGGGGACCAUCCUCCAAGGCUAAAUACUCCUGACUGACCGAUAGUGAACCAGUACCGUGAGGGAAAGGCGAAAAGAACCCCGGCGAGGGGAGUGAAAAAGAACCUGAAACCGUGUACGUACAAGCAGUGGGAGCACAGAGCAAUCUGUGUGACUGCGUACCUUUUGUAUAAUGGGUCAGCGACUUAUAUUCUGUAGCAAGGUUAACCGAAUAGGGGAGCCGAAGGGAAACCGAGUCUUAACUGGGCGUUAAGUUGCAGGGUAUAGACCCGAAACCCGGUGAUCUAGCCAUGGGCAGGUUGAAGGUUGGGUAACACUAACUGGAGGACCGAACCGACUAAUGUUGAAAAAUUAGCGGAUGACUUGUGGCUGGGGGUGAAAGGCCAAUCAAACCGGGAGAUAGCUGGUUCUCCCCGAAAGCUAUUUAGGUAGCGCCUCGUGAAUUCAUCUCCGGGGGUAGAGCACUGUUUCGGCAAGGGGGUCAUCCCGACUUACCAACCCGAUGCAAACUGCGAAUACCGGAGAAUGUUAUCACGGGAGACACACGGCGGGUGCUAACGUCCGUCGUGAAGAGGGAAACAACCCAGACCGCCAGCUAAGGUCCCAAAGUCAUGGUUAAGUGGGAAACGAUGUGGGAAGGCCCAGACAGCCAGGAUGUUGGCUUAGAAGCAGCCAUCAUUUAAAGAAAGCGUAAUAGCUCACUGGUCGAGUCGGCCUGCGCGGAAGAUGUAACGGGGCUAAACCAUGCACCGAAGCUGCGGCAGCGACGCUUAUGCGUUGUUGGGUAGGGGAGCGUUCUGUAAGCCUGUGAAGGUGUACUGUGAGGUAUGCUGGAGGUAUCAGAAGUGCGAAUGCUGACAUAAGUAACGAUAAAGCGGGUGAAAAGCCCGCUCGCCGGAAGACCAAGGGUUCCUGUCCAACGUUAAUCGGGGCAGGGUGAGUCGACCCCUAAGGCGAGGCCGAAAGGCGUAGUCGAUGGGAAACAGGUUAAUAUUCCUGUACUUGGUGUUACUGCGAAGGGGGGACGGAGAAGGCUAUGUUGGCCGGGCGACGGUUGUCCCGGUUUAAGCGUGUAGGCUGGUUUUCCAGGCAAAUCCGGAAAAUCAAGGCUGAGGCGUGAUGACGAGGCACUACGGUGCUGAAGCAACAAAUGCCCUGCUUCCAGGAAAAGCCUCUAAGCAUCAGGUAACAUCAAAUCGUACCCCAAACCGACACAGGUGGUCAGGUAGAGAAUACCAAGGCGCUUGAGAGAACUCGGGUGAAGGAACUAGGCAAAAUGGUGCCGUAACUUCGGGAGAAGGCACGCUGAUAUGUAGGUGAAGUCCCUCGCGGAUGGAGCUGAAAUCAGUCGAAGAUACCAGCUGGCUGCAACUGUUUAUUAAAAACACAGCACUGUGCAAACACGAAAGUGGACGUAUACGGUGUGACGCCUGCCCGGUGCCGGAAGGUUAAUUGAUGGGGUCAGCGCAAGCGAAGCUCUUGAUCGAAGCCCCGGUAAACGGCGGCCGUAACUAUAACGGUCCUAAGGUAGCGAAAUUCCUUGUCGGGUAAGUUCCGACCUGCACGAAUGGCGUAAUGAUGGCCAGGCUGUCUCCACCCGAGACUCAGUGAAAUUGAACUCGCUGUGAAGAUGCAGUGUACCCGCGGCAAGACGGAAAGACCCCGUGAACCUUUACUAUAGCUUGACACUGAACAUUGAGCCUUGAUG
rnacentral:rRNA from 1 species